rnacentral:rRNA from 1 species
AUUGAACGCUGGCGGCAGGCCUAACACAUGCAAGUCGAGCGGAUGAAGGGAGCUUGCUCCUGGAUUCAGCGGCGGACGGGUGAGUAAUGCCUAGGAAUCUGCCUGGUAGUGGGGGAUAACGUCCGGAAACGGGCGCUAAUACCGCAUACGUCCUGAGGGAGAAAGUGGGGGAUCUUCGGACCUCACGCUAUCAGAUGAGCCUAGGUCGGAUUAGCUAGUUGGUGGGGUAAAGGCCUACCAAGGCGACGAUCCGUAACUGGUCUGAGAGGAUGAUCAGUCACACUGGAACUGAGACACGGUCCAGACUCCUACGGGAGGCGGCAGUGGGGAAUAUUGGACAAUGGGCGGAAGCCUGAUCCAGCCAUGCCGCGUGUGUGAAGAAGGUCUUCGGAUUGUAAAGCACUUUAAGUUGGGAGGAAGGGCAGUAAGUUAAUACCUUGCUGUUUUGACGUUACCAACAGAAUAAGCACCGGCUAACUUCGUG